UACGUAGGGUGCAAGCGUUACUCGGAAUUACUGGGCGUAAAGCGUGCGCAGGCGGUUGGGCAAGACCGAUGUGAAAGCCCCGGGCUUAACCUGGGAAUGGCAUUGGUGACUGCACGGCUAGAGUGUGUCAGAGGGGGGUAGAAUUCCACGUGUAGCAGUGAAAUGCGUAGAGAUGUGGAGGAAUACCGAUGGCGAAGGCAGCCCCCUGGGAUAACACUGACGCUCAUGCACGAAAGCGUGGGGAGCAAACAGG
rnacentral:rRNA from 1 species